UGCACAAAGGGGAUUUGUUGGUUCUUGUAAUGGAAAGUCCGGGGGAGUUUGAAUUUCAGGUGUGGCUGGAUCCAGGUUCUCUCCUCUUGGGGACAGAGAUGACCUCCAGCAGUUCCAGCCUUACAGCUUGGCAGAAAAGUAAACACAGGAGAACAAAAUCUGCCUCCCCGUGGCUUUGCUUGGAUGAUAAAUACAUGAAUGGAGGAAUGAAGGAAUGAAGGAAUGAAUGCCCACUCCUGCCCAGAAGGAACCCGUG